rnacentral:SRP_RNA from 1 species
GCCAGGCAUGGUGGCGCAUGCCUGUAAUCCCAGCUACUUGGGAGGUUGAGGCUAGAGGAUCGUUUGAGCCCAGGAGUUCGAGGCUAUAGCAUGCUAUGAUCACACCUGUGAAUAGCCACUGCACUCCAGUCUGGGCAACAGAGAGAGACCCUGUCUCUA